GGCUACAUCACAUUGAAACACCAGUUCUCAUAUAAUCACUGAAGUUAAGCAACAUCAAUCCUGGUAAGUACCAAAUGGGUGACCACUUGGGAAUACCAGGUGCUGUAAU